GAUGAACGCUGGCGGCGUGCCUAAUACAUGCAAGUCGAGCGAACAGAUGAGGAGCUUGCUCCCCUGACGUUAGCGGCGGACGGGUGAGUAACACGUGGAUAACCUACCUAUAAGACUGGGAUAACUUCGGGAAACCGGAGCUAAUACCGGAUAAUAUAUUGAACCGCAUGGUUCAAUAGUGAAAGACGGUUUUGCUGUCACUUAUAGAUGGAUCCGCGCCGCAUUAGCUAGUUGGUAAGGUAACGGCUUACCAAGGCAACGAUGCGUAGCCGACCUGAGAGGGUGAUCGGCCACACUGGAACUGAGACACGGUCCAGACUCCUACGGGAGGCAGCAGUAGGGAAUCUUCCGCAAAGGGCGAAAGCCUGACGGAGCAACGCCGCGUGAGUGAUGAAGGUCUUCGGAUCGUAAAACUCUGUUAUUAGGAAAGAACAAAUGUGUAAGUAACUAUGCACGUCUUGACGGUACCUAAUCAGAAAGCCACGGCUAACUACGUG
rnacentral:rRNA from 1 species